CUUUAUCAAUAAAGGUAAUUUUUUUCAGUCCUCCUACAGAAGGGUGUAUAUAUUUUUUCAAGUGCGCGAGUGUACAUAUAGCAGUACUCAUCAGUAUCGCCUGAAAAAUAUUCCAGGUAUCAAUAUGUCACACUUUUUGGUCUUCGCUGGACUCCUGGUCAGCAUCGCCGCACAACACGAUCUGCAGGAUGUUUCCUGUAGCAAUCACUCCGUCAUCGACGGUUGGUUGUUGCUGAGUCAAAGCAUAAGGUACGACAUGUUGCAAAGGAACUACAAUUAUUCCGCCGCACUUAACGACUCCAUGUGUGUGAAGAUUAGGCGCAACGUUUCGGAGGUGCAAGGCCAUACAGUGACGAAAAAUUUUACUUACCGCAAUAUGAGUUCCACGUUUAAACAAAGGGCAAGUGCACUAAUUAACCUUACCUUCUUCGGCACGAA
rnacentral:lncRNA from 1 species